rnacentral:lncRNA from 1 species
CCCCAUUAAUGACCCCCCUAAUUAACGACCCCCCUAAUGAAGUAAUUAAUGACCCGUAGGGCUGCCUGGCCCCGGUGCGGGUGCUCCUUCCGGAAGGUUCCAUCCUCAGCCCGUCCCCGCAGGCGGCGGUGGUUGGGGGCAAUGUGCUGACAUCGCAGCGCAUCGUCGAUGUGGUGCUCAGAGCCUUCGGGGCCUGCGCGGCAUCGCAGGUACUGCCACAAAGGGAGCCAUUGGGGAGCCCCAUAGGGAGCCAGAGCCAUCCUGGUACUGCCACAAAGGGAGCCGUAGGGAGCCCCAUAGGGAGCCAGAGCCAUCCUGGUACUGCCACAAAGGGAGCCGUGGGGAGCCCCAUAGGGAGCCAGAGAGAAUCAGGUACUGCC